ACUCCUACGGGAGGCAGCAGUGGGGAAUUUUGGACAAUGGGCGCAAGCCUGAUCCAGCAAUGCCGCGUGAGUGAAGAAGGCCUUCGGGUUGUAAAGCUCUUUUGUUUGGGAAGAAAUCCUUAAGGCUAAUAUCCUUGGGGGAUGACGGUACCAAAAGAAUAAGCACCGGCUAACUACGUGCCAGCAGCCGCGGUAAUACGUAGGGUGCAAGCGUUAAUCGGAAUUACUGGGCGUAAAGCGUGCGCAGGCGGUUUUGUAAGACAGGUGUGAAAUCCCCGAGCUCAACUUGGGAACUGCACUUGUGACUGCAAGACUAGAAUAUGUCAGAGGGAGGUAGAAUUCCACGUGUAGCAGUGAAAUGCGUAGAGAUGUGGAGGAAUACCAGUGGCGAAGGCGGCCUCCUGGGAUAAUAUUGACGCUCAUGUACGAAAGCGUGGGGAGCAAACAGGAUUAGAUACCCUGGUAGUCCACGCCCUAAACGAUGUCAACUGGUUGUUGGGGAUUCAUUUCCUUAGUAACGAAGCUAACGCGUGAAGU
rnacentral:rRNA from 1 species